rnacentral:tRNA from 2 species
CAUCCAUAGCUCAGCUGGAUAGAGUACUCGGCUACGAACCGAGCGGUCGGAGGUUCGAAUCCUCCUGGAUG